GGGGAAAAAUUGUGGUGCCAAAGCUAUUGCCACAAUAUAAAGUGCUCUAUUGCAACACUAUAAUUUUCGUUGUGCAAACAUGUGGCAACCAAAAGGGGGUCGUGGUAAUAGCCUAUUGCAACCAUAAAAAAAAUAUGGCAUUCAAUUACACUAUUCAAAACCGUACAUAUAAUAGAUUCAUAAAACUCAUAAUUCUCAUAGCAAACCAUCAAAUGAAACUGGCCCAGUCAUAGACUAAAUUGUGCGUGGUCUCGAGUCUAGUCCAGGUAGUUUUUUGGAUCCUCCGUCAUCUCGAGUCCAGUCCAGCUAGUUAUUUGGAUCCUGCAAUCAAGAAAUCAAAAAAAACAUCCAGUUAAUGAGCCUAGUAUAACAUACCUCAAAAAUCAUAUCGAUGGUACUGCAAUAAUCCAAAAAACUCUUUUACAGAGACCUAGUCCUAAUAAGAAAGGACACAUCAUUUCGAUGAGAUAUUUUCUGGGACUCAGUAUGUGACUGUUAAUAAUUACUUUCCAAAGAUCUGUGAAAUCUUCUAUCUAUUAUAUACUUAAAACGAUAGAAAACGAACGGCUAAGACGUAACAGUAAAAAAAAGCUUGAAAGAACGAUCAGGAUUAGUUUUAAAGUACACGUAUGCAUGAUUCCUGUUCACGUGCAUGUCCACAUCGUGAGCAUUGUAAGACUGAGGGAAGGUGUCCAAGAGACAUACGCUAUACUUGAACUAAUAAAGGAUUCCUGAAGGCACACUUAUAUUGAUUUUAAAACAUCCGAUCUUCACAAGGAAAAUAUUUCAGAAAUAUAAUUAGGAAACAGAAAAAACAAGGAAAGAAAACACGUAAUGUGAGCAAUCAGAUCUUUUCCUUUUUAUGGUCAAUAAUGUUUACAAUUUUAAGAAUCUGACACGUGCAAGGUUUAACCAUAUUUACAAAGAAAAAUUCCUAUACAUGUUGGUCUAGGAUACGCAGCAGCUUUCUAAGAAAAGAUACAAGGCACCUAAUCAAUCGGUUUACAACCGGCUGUACAGAACUUUUCUUAACACUUGCGGAAAAAACUUAACCGGCAAGGUUGAUGUCAUGUCACGGACAGCCAUCCAUGAAUCCAUCCAUGAAACGCGUACGUGCAAAAUUCGUGUUUCUCACAUAAUGGGUGAUGUCAACAUCAUCUAAUUCUUUUUCUUAGCAAUCAGCAAUAUCUAAUUAAUCACAUAUUUUUCAAAUAAUAAAAUAGUUCUAUCUUUGUUUUUGUUUACAUGCUCUACAGAUGAGACGGGAUAUUUUUUGAGGGGUAAAUCAGACGCGAUGUUGAUUCUCAAUGUCACCAUCGACGAAGUAACAGAUUAUUAAAUAUAUUUUUAUAAUCAAAUAUACAAUCGACUGAGAUAAUUAACUUAAUCUAAACCUUAGAGUUACCUUUCCCUAGAUAAUAAGCAAUAUACUAUGCUUUCGGAAUACUAUGUAACAUGUCCUGCAUAAGUACAUGCAUGCACACUUUUAAUAUAUUAAUGUAACAUGUCAUGAUUUUUUAUGUCAAUAAAUUCAUAUAAGAUAUCCAAGGCCUCAUGGGUAUUGCUACACUCCUUAAUCCACGGUUUAAGAUUGAUAUGCUGCAUGUGUGCUUUGAAAUGCUCCUUGGUGACGAGUCCAUUAUUGAUGCUGAGAGUAAAGUUUGGGAAAAAAGCUGGGCCAAUAGUCUUCACACAAAUAUUUUUGGGCUUGUUGUCCUAGCUAACAUGGCCAGCUAUGUUAUUCUUUUCUUUCCUAGUAUUGGAAUUCCAAUCGGAACCAGCUGCACGUCAAUUCCUUCGGAAAACAAACCCUUUUAAAAAAAACUGCAACGUCCCUUGUCCCCCUAAAAAAAAAAAUUAGCAUCCCUAGUUUAUAGUUUACACGUGUCCUUCUCCUAUACACAAACCUGAUUACAAAUUUUCAUUGUACAAACAAACGCAACAGACGCAACAGACGUGCAUGUCCAAAAGAAUAUAUGCAUGCACCCAUACAUAUCAGGACCAUGAUGCGGGCUUUAAAAGGUAAUUUUUAAAGUAGGUAUCCUAAUUAAUAUCCAUCGUUAAAAUAUCUAUGGCUUUCAUUGUUCAAUAUUCACCGUUCCUUUUCUAUUGUCUUAAUAAUAUAAUAGAUAGAUAACGUUGUAGGUGAAAAUGAAGAGAAAGCAAAGUUGUGACUUACAAUUGCUUUAAACAUUCGAGAAUUUCUUGUUGAAGCAUGUAUGAGCGCAUUUGAAGAAAUAACAGUUGGCCUUCCACCUGCAGCCUUAUUAGCACUAGGUCUCUGUAAAAG
rnacentral:lncRNA from 1 species